AUACGUAGGGGGCUAGCGUUAUCCGGAAUUACUGGGCGUAAAGGGUGCGUAGGUGGUUUCUUAAGUCAGAAGUGAAAGGCUACGGCUCAACCGUAGUAAGCUUUUGAAACUAAGAGACUUGAGUGCAGGAGAGGAGAGUAGAAUUCCUAGUGUAGCGGUGAAAUGCGUAGAUAUUAGGAGGAAUACCAGUUGCGAAGGCGGCUCUCUGGACUGUAACUGACACUGAGGCACGAAAGCGUGGGGAGCAAACAGGAUUAGAUACCCUGGUAGUCCACGCCGUAAACGAUGAGUACUAGCUGUCGGGGGUUACCCCCCUCGGUGGCGCAGCUAACGCAUUAAGUACUCCGCCUGGGGAGUACGUCCGCAAGGAUGAAACUCAAAUGAAUUGACGGGG
rnacentral:rRNA from 1 species